rnacentral:rRNA from 1 species
GAUGAACGCUAGCGGCAGGCCUAAUACAUGCAGGACGAACGGUAAGGUUUUUAGCAAUAAGAAUCCUAGAGUGUCGUAAGGGUGCGUAACACGUAUGCAAUCUGCCCUCAACAGGAGGAUAGCUCCCCGAAAGGGGAAUCAACACUCCGUAAGAUCACAUGAUGGCAUCAUUGAGUGAUUAAAACUACGGUGGUUGAGGAUGAGCAUGCGUACUAUUAGCUAGAUGGUAAGGUAACGGCUUACCAUGGCAACGAUAGGUAGGGGUCCUGAGAGGGAGAUCCCCCACACUGGUACUGAGACACGGACCAGACUCCUACGGGAGGCAGCAGUGAGGAAUAUUGGACAAUGGGCGCAAGCCUGAUCCAGCCAUGCCGCGUGCAGGAAGAAGCAUCUAUGGUGUGUAAACUGCUUUUGUACGGGAAGAAACACUCCUUCGUGAAGGAGCUUGACGGUACCGUAAGAAUAAGGAUCGGCUAACUCCGUGCCAGCCGCCGCAGUAA